rnacentral:lncRNA from 1 species
AAUUAAUAGGAAAUUUGUCUUAAGUUUCAUACCCAGCCACACCUGGGAGUUCACUCUAGGUCUGUAUCUCCAAAUGUCUUUUAUGCACAACACACGGUCCACUUUCUUUAUGAACUGAUGUGCAGUGUACUGACAUGUACUCUAGCAGACCUGGGUUUGAGUGUAAGCCAAACCAGGUACCUAAUGAUCUUAAGUUAGGUAAAUAAAGGUCCAUAAUCACAAACAAUUCCUAACUCAAUACAGAAUUCAGCCUACAUCGUUUUACCUGCCUCCUUCUAUUCUUACAUUGCAGAACGAAGGCUAAGUAAGUGUUAAAAGACACGUGAAGGGAGCUGAGGGAGCAGGGCUCCUUAGUGUGAUCCCAUCCAUCCCUCUCUUGGGAAAAAGAGUUGCAUGCAAGCUUACAGUCUUCUUAAUCCUUUGACUCCAUCUUUAAAAUUUCAGCUUUACCAAUGUCAAAAAAAUUGUUAAUCCAGAGAACUAAAUAAUCUGUAGAAAGAAUACAAGGCUAAUACUCUUUUUAUAAAGCAGGCUGGUAUUGCUUCCAUAUGUGUGUAUGCUUGUUCCAGAACCUGUUUGUUGGUUCUGAAUGAGAACGUACGGAGCACUCAAAUCAGUGGGAAUUACAAUUUUUCUUUUUUGAAAAAAGACACUUUUUAAAAAAUUUUAUUUAUUUAAUGUAUGAGUGCUCUGCUGCAUAUACAUCUGCCUGCCUGAAGAAGGCAUCAUAUCCCCCUAUAGAUGGUUGUGAGCCACCAUGUGGUUGAUGGGAAGAGCAGCCUGUGUUCUUAAUCUCUGAGCCAUCUCACCAGCCCGGAAUUACAAAUUUUAUUUAAAAUAUUUCCAAGUUUGGUUUCUGAAUCUCAGAGGAACACCUGUUAUGGUAUCACACUGCACUUUUACUCUGUUAGUCAUUUAAAAUAGGAAAAAGAAAAUAAACAUCAGCUUCCUCUUAAUCAUAAUCAUGUUCAUGGACAUAAAUAUUUCAUUGCAAGUCACUCACUUCUAGAAUUUGAUGUUACGUCAUAUCACAUUUUAUAAACCUAUGUUAAGCUUAUGUAUAUGUUAUUACAUGACUAUCCAGAUUUUUGAAAAUAUAUAAUUACAUUAUUUCCUUAACUCCUUAAAAUAUUCUGCACACAUUCUAAUUCUACUGUUCUAGAUCAGUCAGUCAUUCUAGGAAGUGUGUAACACCCCUCAUAGGCCCUAGUAGUCUCUCUUAGUCUAUAAUGUUAAUAGUCACACCCUUACCUAGCAGUGGGUUGUGUGCAUUGUGGGUUUUUUUUUUUUUUCAGAUUAUGAGCUAUGCAAACUUCAUCCAAAAACUACCUUACAUGAUCCCUUCCUAACUGUGCUCAUUGAUUAUAUCAGUCUAGCCGGUUACUUUCUGAGCUACUGAACAAAGGCUAUUAUCAAAAAAGGCUUUUCUGUAAGUGUCCACAUUAACCCAGAGGAAAUCUCCAAGUGCCCAAAGAGGUGGUAACACCUACCUGUUCCUCUCUUUAAGUUUCUCAUGGUUUAUAGAGCCUGUCCCUUUACUAUCUGGCCUGCAGUCAUAUGCCAGGAAAGUUUUCUCCAUGCCUAUUCUGUCUCUCUUGUUUGAUCUAAGGUCUGUUUCUCAUACCUAGUAGGGAGAAGAGAUGGUCAUCCUAUCUAGCACUCUUCAGUCAGCUUCAGGCUUCUCAACACCAGAUCACCAGAUCAAAGUGUUCCACUUCCUUCAGGUUUUUUUCUUCCUAAAUCUAUUUUAAUUACUUUAUUUAUAUUUAAAGCACUAAAAUUCUAUGUUAUAUUCAAAUUAAUUACUCCAGUUAAUUUAUAGCAUAGUAGUUUGAUAGAAUUGAGAAUAAAGAUGUUACCAUUGAAUUUAAUCACCAGACCACCUGAAAAUCAGCACCUAAUUUUUGUAUUAUCUAACAUUCUUCUAUUAAAGUAUGUUUUAUGAUUUUUAUAUCUAUACAGAUAUAACUAAAAAGCCAUGCAUACAUAAUUGUCUAUUUUUUUUCCACUAAACUCUGACCUAUGUUACAGUGUAGUAUUAGUAUUAUAUGUUUGGGUAUUAUGAUUGAGCCACAACAAAUAUUAUACAUUUUUCUUUAUCAAAUACUAUAUUAAACACUAAAUGCAAAACUAAUUUUCAAAAGCAGACCCUACAAAAAUCAGGUAUUCAUGGAUGUUUUUGUAUUUUUGUAGACCACUUUUGAAAUGCUUAUCAUUGUUUUUGCAGAAUAGACUGGACUAAAACAGUUUUCAUUUUACCUUUUCAGUGAUUAAAGCUAGGUAUUUGCAUAGAACGGAAAUCCUUAAAAUUUUAUCCCAUGGCAUAUGAAUUUUGAGAAGCUAUACUUUAUGUUAAGAUUAUGCCCCGAAUAAAUCUAUUAAGUCUUU